AUUGAACGCUGGCGGCAGGCUUAACACAUGCAAGUCGAGCGAGCGGCGGACGGGUGAGUAAUGUCUGGGAAACUGCCUGAUGGAGGGGGCUAACUACUGGAAACGGUAGCUAAUACCGCAUACCAUCAGAUGUGCCCAGAUGGGAUUAGCUAGUAGGUGGGGUAAUGGCUCACCUAGGCGACGAUCCCUAGCUGGUCUGCGAGGGUGACGAGCCACACGGGAACGGGACCACUGUCCAGACUCCGACGGGAGGAAGCAGGGGGGAAUAUUGGACUAUGGGCGCAAGCCUGAAGCAGCCAUGCAGCAUGUGUGAAAGAGGCAUUCGGGUUGUAAAGCACUUUCAGCGAGGAGGCGUUAAUCGCAGAAGAAGCACCGGCUAACUCCGUGCCAGCAGCAGCGGUAAUAC
rnacentral:rRNA from 1 species